rnacentral:lncRNA from 1 species
GCUUAUAAGAUGAGACCACCAGGAAGAGGCAGCUGUCUUCAUCUUCGCUGGAUGCUAGUCUUUGCAAAUGGUGCCCAUGUCCACAUCUUGCUUCCAUGUAAUGAAUGCAUCUGAAUACCAGCCAACCUGUGGGGAGGGCAGUGCUGAAAGGCCAGAGGAAUCUUGCUCACGAAUGAUGGAGAGUUAUAUCUCUUAUAACAAAGCCAUCUCUCUGUUGGUACAAGGAGCCUCAAAUCCACUGGACCAUGCUCAAGAUUAGGAAUAACAACUACAGUAAGCACUUGCAUUUGUUUAAGAUACAUAUUUUCUGAAGUACUUUUAUAUUGAUCCUUACCUGCAAGGCAGGUAAAAUGAAUAUUAUUAUUCCUAUUUUUAAAAUAAGAAAAUGAACACAAGGAGGUAGAAGGAUUUACCCGACAGGAUUUACCCGACAUGCUGAUGACAGAGCUGGCAUGAAAAACCUAAGUCUGGCAAGGGGAAAUGUUUUGACAGUGAGAAAGAGUAAAUCUAGAAAAGGAUUCAAAAGUAUGGGCUUUGGAAGCUGCCAGAAUGGGGUUUAAAUUCCCAUUCUACUUCGUUAGACAAGUGACUUAAAUCUCUAUUAUUUAGCUCUUUCAUCUAUAGAAUGAAUGAUAAUGAUAAAGCCCAUAUCACCAGGACAUUUCAAGAAAUUAAUGGGAAAAUAUCUUUAAAGUACUGAAUCCAGUGCUCUGUACAUUGUGGAUUUUCCCCUCUUAGGAACUGUUCCUAAACCCCUAUUGAAAGACGUUCUCGUCACACCAUCCUUGUUGCUUUUUAAAGAUGAAAUGGCAACUGUGAGUUCCAACCAAGGCAAAGACAAGACAGAGCUAAUUAUUUCUAAAAAUCCUUCACGAUGUAAAGAGUCUCUGGUAAGAAAAAAAGAAAAACAUAAAACAAAGAAUUAAUAUUGAACGUGUUUCUGGCCCGCUGGUGACGGUGAAUGAUCUAAAACAGGGUGCCACAUGAUGGAGACGGGGCUGGGAAAUUUAUGUGGGAAUGAAAAUAAGACCAUAAAAACAGAUCAGGAAGGAGCUGGCCAUGUACAAGUAUGGAAGAAGAAGAGCCAAGGGCCAUAGUGGGACGCCAGCUGAACCAUAAGUCAGUUGAGUUUUGCUCUUAUUAAGGAAAAGGCAAGCAUAGCCUUGGAAUUCACAAACAAGCGCCUGGCAUGAGGGAACUUUAAGCGGAUCCUCCCACCCUGACCAGCCUCUUAGAGUUCUUUCUGGCCUCACCUUUUAAGUAAGACGAUGUGAUGGAGAGGGGUUUGAGGAAAAUGCAGAGAACGCAAAUGAAAAUGAUGAAGUGGCUGUAAGGCAGGACUGAAAGGGGCAGCGGUGAUUUCUCUUGCAGAAAGGUGGGCAGGCAGGGAACCCAGUGAUUUCAGUGCCUGAAAGGAUGGGUACAGGGGUCAGGAUUUGGACCCUUCCUCCCUUCUGUAUCCUCUGCACCUGGUCAAGAGUCUGCACACGUGAGAUGUUCAGGGAACUGUUUCUUGAUAUGGCUGACUUUAAGUUUUAAAUGCCUUCUGGAAAUGUAGGUUGAACAUUAUAAAAAAAAACUUUGUGGCACUAAGUAUUACAGAACCUGGAACAGAACUCUUCUCUUAGGGACUUUUUAGUGGAUAUUGUAGAAAAUUGCCAAGUUUAUUUUAUCCCCUUGUUAUUUAAGCCCUCAGAGAAAUGAGGCCAAAUAAAAAGAAAUCAAUAUUAAAAAGCGCA